CUCCUUACAAGGUACACUGGCCAUGGAGACCAAUGGGACUGGGCUCGUUUAUAUGGAAAGUACUGAGAACUGUAUAGGUCAAUACCAUGAUGGCAAUAUGUAUAUUAUGUAAAUAAUACCGACUAAUAAUUGCCAAAAGAGACCACUUCCCAACCUGCUUACAAAGGGCCUGAUACAAUUUAAAUUAUAAGCAAAGAUUGAGCCCAAAACAAUCUCUUGAUAUGACCCCGAAAGAUCCAGAUAACGUUUAGUCCCCUUCAAACAUAAGGGACCAGUCAGUAAAAGCCCCAUGGCUUGGUAGAGGUGCUUUGGAGAGACGCUGAAUUUACUUUUUCUGACAGCAGCGCUUUCUCUCCCUGAAUGUGGGGUCUUCAGGCCAGGUUUCACUCUGUGUGUCAGAAUAACAGAGAAAUGAGUCGUCACGGCUACCUCCAUUCAGGUCGAAGCAACGUGCACCCCAAAGACAGAAAAACAAGUCCCUUGAAGCUGGAAGUCAAAACACAAAGGGUCUUGUUCACCCAGAGACACGGGUCAUGACAACGCUCUCUGGAGAGAGACGAAACGUCCUGCCUCUCUGUGGACGCACCAAGUGUUUCCACGUGGCAUCUCACCAUGCUGUUUGAGUCGACUGCUUGCAUGAGGAAGACUCACAAAGAGUCUGUCCGUCAUCCGCACUGGAGCAACAUGGCGAUUUCACCACCGUGGGAACAGACCUGACAUCUCUGUGGGCUCUUGUCGAGCAGCAGGGAGCCUGCAGCGGUCUCUUGCGAGGAGAGGCCUCUGUUGCAGUGGUCCUCAAGCUUUUUGGCCCAUGGACCACGAGUCUCAAUGGAAACCUUACCACAGACGGCCCGUUUCUAGUGGAAACUCACUUUUCAUUGCACAAUUCUCCCCAAGCCGUUUUGCUAGUGCUGCAGCUGGGGAGAAUGGGUUAAUUUCAAUUAUUAAACAGAUUAAAUGUU